UUCCCCGCUCGCUCCUCUCUUCCCACGAAACCCUAGCCGCCCAGCUCGCGCCGCGGUCCCCAUCCGCUUCUUCUGCUCGUGCUGGGGUCGCCAUCGAGGGCCUGCCGCUCGCGCCGGGGUCGCACGCGCCGCCGCUUCCCCGUCCUGCUCGCGCAUCACGCCUCGGGAGGAGAGGAAGCCCAGGCUGCUGUUCCCGACGGAGCGCGCCGUCGCGCGGGAGGAGGCCAGGCGGAGCGCGCCGUCACGCGGGGAAGCGGCUCAUCCUCGGCGGCGAGCCAGUGCCGGAUCUGGUGCCUAGCGCCGGCAUCUCACGUGUGACCAAGUCGCCGCCGGGGGCGCUACGGCGGCCGGUCGGAGGCCGAGUUCGCCUGGGCGACCAAGUUGCUGUCGGGGAGCACAAAGUGCCUCCUUUAAGCACCGUUGCAGAGACGAGGAGGACCUCAAGGUCAGGCACAUCUUAUAAGUAGGUCACUUCCACUGGACUGGAUCUUUAUGUUAACAAGCAGCUAGACCCAAGCGUGUGUGUAUGAUGCUGUUGGGUUGUUGACAUGGCGCGUGGUCCGGUUGCGACUCAUGCUCAAGCCACGGUUGAGCCUGGCGUUGGGUUGGUAGGUGGUCGUGGCCGUGGCCGUGGGCGGUCUGCUGGUCGUCGUGGACGAGCCACUGGUCGUGGAGGUUCUAAUAUAGGGCGUGCCCCUGUUUCUGAUCAUGUCGCUGCUUGUCGGGUUCCUGCCGCUGGAGAUGAGCCUCUUGACAGGCGUAGGGGUGUGAGUCGGCGGGUGCCUGCUGCUGGAGCUGAGCCCAUCGCUAGGUGUGGGCGUGGCGCCCGGCAGAUGCUGCCUGCUGCUGGGCGUGGCGCCAUACCUCGGUCAAGUGGUAGGGGUGUUCGUGGCCGUGUCCCUGGUCGUGGUGCUGAUUCUGGGCAUGCAGCCGCUGCUGUACAUGUGUCUGCCCCUGGUCGUUCUGCUGGUCCUGGGUACGCCGCCGCUCCUAGGUGUGUGUUGGUCCCUGGUAUUGCUAGACGUUACGUGCCACGCCAGCCUGUUGGGGGUCCGCCUCGAAGCCGUACAAGUGAUGGUUGGUUUCCUUUUCUGAGCUCGACCGUGGCUGCGGUAAAUCGCAGAAAACG